rnacentral:tRNA from 1 species
CCUUCGAUAGCUCAGUUGGAAGAGCGCAAGACUGUAAUGGAUAAUGUUCAUCUUGAUGUCGCUGGUUCGAUCCCGGCUCGAAGGA